rnacentral:lncRNA from 1 species
CUUAUCAAUUAUUUUACUUGAUGUGGUAUGUAUUUUAUAAUUUUAUAACUUCAGAAUGCAAUUUAUGCAUCUCAUAUUGCAUGUUAAUCUUUUUAAACUAAAACUGGCAAAAAAAUACCUCAAUAGCAAAAAUCUGUCAACAGUCACUUUUGUCAGGCUUCGACUUUUUUCGAAAAAAGCGAGACAUAUCAAUCCUACAUUCCGGCAGUGGUGGCGUCCACAAAUACUCACUCUGUAGUUAAAGUUUUUGAAAUUUCAAUAACUUUCUAAACCUAUCCUGGAUUUGUACCAAACUUAGACAGAAGCUUGUUUAUGAUCAUAAGAUAGUAUUCAGAAUUACAUUAAAAAAAAAAUCCUGUUUAUCGGUAUUUUACUUAUAAUUGGCCUUAGUUUUUCUAAAAUUUAAUAUUACAUUCACACUGUGGUUAAAUUUUUAAAGAUUUUAACGUCUUUCUUAAACCAUCCUGGAUUUCAACCAAACUUGGACAGAAGCUUGUUUAUGAUCAAAAGCUAGUAUUAUUUUCCAUAAAUCUGACUUCAUUUCACUUUAUACUAGUAUUCAAAGAGUUUGAUAGAACUAUAUUGUUUAUACAUUUGUACUUAUUUUUGUGACAUAAUCAACAGAUAAAUAUAUAUUAGUACCAACAGCAUUAACUAGAUUUAUUUAUGCAAAGGAAAUAUUAAUAACUGUAUUAUAUAUUAUGUAUUAUAUCUUGCAAUAUUUUUUGUUUCUUUGAAUAUUUAAUCUUGAGGAUGAAGACAAGAGCUAUUCGACAGGGACCAUAGUGUAUUUUACAGUAACUUUUAGUAGCUUGAGUUUAUAUUAAUUCUGUUGAUUUCAUUGUACUCUUAAUUUGAAAGAGCUAUGUAUAUAAAAUAAAAUGUAAUUCCGGCUGAAUAUUGAAUACAUUUUAAAUUUCAGAGAUUCCUUCCUCCCUCUGUCCUCUCAUCUUAUUUUAGAUGAAGAAAUAAACAUAGGAAUAUGUCUGCAACUUUUUGUGUGAACACUGUUUGAUCUCUUCAUUGGGGUGUUCUUAUUUCGGAUCCUGCUUACUGUUUUGUCAAAUACCCAUAUACUGCUUACACCAUGUACGUAAGCAAUUGUCAUUUUUUUGUAAUUUCCCGUAUCCCACUAGACUUCAUUUCCCUUUUUCACGUCACUAUGAUUUGACUUUCAUGUGUCAUGCUUACACAAAAAUUGACAAUCCUGCUUCAGUCUUAGACCCAAAUAAGACCCACUUCAUAACUUAAAACAAAAUGGACAGGUAAUACAUAUUGUGAAUACAAGAAAUUAACAGCAAACCAGUCUCAUAGUAAAUGGUAUGGGGAACCAGAACAUAUAUAUUGGCCUGGACCCCUCAUUUUGUGUGAAAAAUUUGGUUGAUUAUAUAGGGAAUCACUGAAGCACGACUAGAAUGGGCACUCUCUUAGGCAGUCAGUGGGCCCCUCUUAUGAAAAUUUCUAGAUCUGCUACUGGAAUUGUUUUCACUCUUUUCUUGUUUGUCUUUGUUCUUCCAUAUACAUCAAAUUUACGGGAAAGGAUAUUUUUGUGGUUUUAUGUUAAUGGCAAACUCUGUGAAAAAUCAACCCUUUGUGAAAAUUUCCAACCUUUAAAGUAUUCUGUAUUCAGGUGCUCUUGGAAUUAAAAAAAAAAAUAGGAAAUGAAAUAUCAGGAAAUUUAAUUUAUCUCAUUAUUAUAACGUAAAGUAGUCAUUUUACAUAAGAAUACUGUGGAUUCAUUUAUUUUCGUGGGUACCAAUUUUCGUGGAUUAAGGAAAUCUUACAUUUUCGUGGAUAUUUAAUUUCGUGGUUUUGCUGAAAUCUGCAUACCAGCCUAUAGAAAAUUUUCUAUUCGUUGGACAUUUAAUUUCGUGGUUUACCUGUUCCCACGAAAUCCACGAAAAUUGAUAUCCAACGAAUAAUAAUGAAUUUACAGUACUAUUAUUUUAUUUACCUAUGAUGAGGGUGGACCUUGAUUACCCAUCAGGUUUUUGCACAGUCUAAGAUUUAUUUACCUAAAUAAAUAUGUAUACAGUCUUGCUUUCUUUCAGGUAGUUGGUCAAUAUAUGCAUGCAGUUAUCUGCAGUUGCAUGUUUUAUUUCUUAAAACAGAAAGGUAUUAGUAGUUGACUCUGCUAGAUAUUAGAUAUAUUUUUAAGCUAUGUGCCAGUAGUUUAUAAUAUGAAUGUCCGUCC